rnacentral:tRNA from 1 species
UGGCUUAAUGGUUACGGCUUCUGCCUCAUAAGCAGAAGGUUCAGGGAUCAAAUCCCGG